GAUAAACGCUGGCGGCGUGCCUAACACAUGCAAGUCGAACGAAGCGACUGGAGGAAGUUUUCGGAUGGAAUCCGGUUGACUGAGUGGCGGACGGGUGAGUAACGCGUGGAUAACCUGCCUCACACUGGGGGGAUAACAGUACGUAAAGUAAGUCGGUCGUCGUAACUUAAACCGUACCCGACUAAAGUAACGGCCGACCAACGUAACCGGUACCCGACUAGGUUACGGGGUUACGGUU
rnacentral:rRNA from 1 species